rnacentral:rRNA from 1 species
GUCUACGGCCAUGCCACCCUGAACAUGCCCAAUCUCGUCUGAUCUCGGAAGCUAAGCAGGGUCAGGCCUGGUUAGAACUUGGAUAGGAGACCAUCCAGGAAGACCAGGUGCUGUAGAUG